GGGCUUGAAAUCUUGCUCUCCC
rnacentral:miRNA from 1 species